GUGCCAGACUCCUACGGGAGGCAGCAGUGGGGAAUAUUGCACAAUGGGCGCAAGCCUGAUGCAGCGACGCCGCGUGAGCGAAGAAGUAUUUCGGUAUGUAAAGCUCUAUCAGCAGGGAAGAAGAUGACGGUACCUGACUAAGAAGCUCCGGCUAAAUACGUGCCAGCAGCCGCGGUAAUACGUAUGGAGCAAGCGUUAUCCGGAAUUACUGGGUGUAAAGGGCGUGUAGCCGGGCUGACAAGUCAGAUGUGAAAUUCCGGGGCUCAACCCCGGACCUGCAUUUGAAACUGUUGGUCUUGAGUAUCGGAGAGGCAGGCGGAAUUCCUAGUGUAGCGGUGAAAUGCGUAGAUAUUAGGAGGAACACCAGUGGCGAAGGCGGCCUGCUGGACGACAACUGACGGUGAGGCGCGAAAGCGUGGGGAGCAAACAGGAUUAGAUACCCGAGUA
rnacentral:rRNA from 1 species